rnacentral:lncRNA from 1 species
UGAUUUUUUUUUUAUAUAAAUUUUGUUGUAAGCAGUAGUUAUUGAGUUUUCAAAUAUCAGAUUCUUCUUGUGUUCACUGUGUUUUCUAUCAUCAAAUAUUGAAACAAGAGCCAUAUAUAUAAAUAAAAGGUUUGAACAUAAAAAAAAUACAUAUAGUUUUCCCUUCUAAAUUUCUAAUAACAACCAAAAAGACAGGUGUGUAUCUUGUAAAUUUUGGCAGGCAAAUGUAAACAUCAGUAACGAAGUAGUUAACACACUGGCGGAUCGCAAGAGAUUGUUUAUUGAGCUUCUGUUGGGUGGGCUUUAUAUUAAGGAGCUCGACAACAGCGACUAUAGAUGUUGCAACCACGGUUUUAAGGGUUUAAUGUCCUGUUGUCGGGAGUGCUGAAGAGGACCAGUGAGGUGGGCGAGGCUGAUAGCUCUGAGACGGUGCUGGUCUUGGCUUACUUCCACGUACUUCUGAUUUGAUUUGUCCAAUGACAUCUGCAAUUCCAAACCAUUGGAAUUUGGAGAUAUAUACAAAAGAUACGAGCAAAUACAAUACGUUAAGAAAAGAAGUUGGUCACGUACCUUGAAUCUUCAAUAGUCUACGACCGACUACUCCUUGCGGGAUGAAGAUGGCUGAUGCUGAAAGGAACCAGCAAAGGAUGAGAGAAAAUGGAGGUUUGGUUACCAUUGCUUUCUAAGUUGGAUGCCUCCCAAUCCCCCAGUCCAAUACUGUUAUGUUUCUGAUAUGCUCUUCUUAUUGAC